rnacentral:rRNA from 1 species
GACGAACGCUGGCGGCGUGCUUAACACAUGCAAGUCGAACGAUGAAGAAGAGAAACGCGAACUUCGGUUCAAAUUUCACUUCGGAUUAGAGGCAGACGGGUGAGUAACGCGUGAGCAACCUACCUCUUACAAAGGGAUAGCCUCGGGAAACCGUGAUUAAUACCAUAUGACACCUUCAUAAAGCAUCUUAAGAGUGUUAAAGCUACGGCGGUAAGAGAUGGGCUCGCGUCCCAUUAGCUAGUUGGUGAGGUAACGGCGCACCAAGGCGACGAUGGGUAACCGGGGAGAGAGGAUGAACUGUCAAAUUGGAAGGGAGACACGAGCAGGAAUCCUACGGGAGGGAGCAAUGGCGUAUAGUGGAAAAGGGAGGGAAGUCUGAUGGGGCGACGCAGCGUGAGAGUUGAAGGUAUGCGUAGCGUAAAGCUCUGUUCUAUGGGAAGAAAAGGACUGUACCAUAGGAGAAAGCCCCGGCUAAAUACGUG